rnacentral:lncRNA from 1 species
UUGGGAAAAUCCUUGACUGAUAUCAAAUAUAACACUCCAGACAUUAACUGGGCUUUCCCCUUUCUUGAAAUAAAUGUCUUAUCUUAAUCGAAAGACCUGUGCUGAUUUGCUUAUUAUUCUAGAAGCUUUUGUGAUCUCAGUGCCUCUGUACAUAUCCAGCAUGCAUAUGUCAACGUGAAAUGUAAAAUGAAAAGUUUUAAUAUUAAUUGUGAAGACUGUAUUGAUAUUACUGUUUGUUUCUUAUUGCAGAGGUUUGUAUGGUCUGUGAACUAGAAGAUCUCAGUGCUUCUAUAGAUGUCCAGGAUGUAUAUACCAAAGUGAAAUGUAAAAUAGAGAGUUUCAAUAUUGAUCACUAUAGAAGCAGGCCAGGGGAAGGUUGGCAGUCAGGACAUUUUGAAGGAGUAUUUCUACAAUGCAAAGAAAAAUCUGUGCCUUGGGGAAGAGUGUUGGUCUUUGGGGCAAUGUGGAGGUGUCUUCCUUUCCUGUACUGACAAGCUGAACAGACGCACCUUGUUGGUUCGACCCAUCAGCAAGCAGGACCCUUUCAGUAAUUGCUCUGGCUUCUUUCCUUCUACAACUACAAAACUUCUAGAUGGCACUCAUCAGCAGCAUGGAUUCCUCUCUCUGACAUACACAAAAGCUGUAACAAAAAAUGUCCGCCACAAGUUAACAUCAAGAAAUGAGCGAAGAAGUUUUCAUAAAUUAUCUGAAGGCUUAAUGGAUGGUUCUCCUCAUUUUCUUCAUGAAAUUCUUCUUUCAGCACAAGCUUUUGAUAUUGUUCUUUAUUUUCCUUUACUUAAUGCCAUUGCAAGUAUAUUUCAAGCAAAACUACCAAAGACCCAAAAAGAGAAAACAAAAUCUCCUGGUCAGCCCAUGAGGACCCAUACGCUGACAUCCCGCAAUUUACCUUUGAUUUAUAUCAACACAAGUGUAAUCAGAAUUUUUAUUCCAAAAACAGAAGAAAUGCAAGUUUUCUGGGGUUUUUUGUUUCUUUUAAAAAAUAAGAGCAGUUGGUUGUGCUUUGCGGUUUGGUAUAUUUUAUAGAGAAG